GAACGCUGGCGGCAUGCCUUACACAUGCAAGUCGAACGGCAGCACGGGAGCAAUCCUGGUGGCGAGUGGCGAACGGUGAGUAAUAUAUCGGAACGUGCCAGUCGUGGGGGAUAACGUAGCGAAAGUUACGCUAAUACCGCAUACGAUCUAAGGAUGAAAGCGGGGGACUCGCAAGAGCCUCGCGCGAUUGGAGCGGCCGAUAUCAGAUUAGGUAGUUGGUGGGUAAAGGCUCACCAAGCCGACGAUCUGUAGCUGGUCUGAGAGGACGACCAGCCACACUGGGACUGAGACACGGCCCAGACUCCUACGGGAGGCAGCAGUGGGGAAUUUUGGACAAUGGGCGCAAGCCUGAUCCAGCAAUGCCGCGUGCAGGAUGAAGGCCUUCGGGUUGUAAACUGCUUUUGUACGGAACGAAACGGUGAGCUCUAAUACAGUUUGCUAAUGACGGUACCGUAAGAAUAAGCACCGGCUAACUACGUG
rnacentral:rRNA from 1 species